UAUGCACUUUCGCCGACAGAGACAUUGCAAUUGGCGAGGAACUCUGAUAUGAUUAUGGAGUACCAACACUUCCAUGGAGAAAGAAAUGCACGGAGCAAAAAAUGGAAAUGUACGGAACAAAAAAGGGCAACACAAUGACUACUAGAUCUACGGACAGCCAGGAACCAGGACAAGCAACAUCCGUACACACGGAAGAAGUCGAUGAGACGGUU